rnacentral:rRNA from 1 species
GAUGAACGCUAGCUACAGGCUUAACACAUGCAAGUCGAGGGGAAACGGCAUUAAGUGCUUGCACUUUUUGGACGUCGACCGGCGCACGGGUGAGUAACGCGUAUCCAACCUUCCCAUGACUAAGGGAUAACCUGCCGAAAGGCAGACUAAUACCUUAUGGUCUUCACUGACGGCAUCAGAUGUGAAGUAAAGAUUUAUCGGUUAUGGAUGGGGAUGCGUCUGAUUAGCUUGUUGGCAGGGUAACGGCCCACCAAGGCAACGAUCAGUAGGGGUUCUGAGAGGAAGGUCCCCCACAUUGGAACUGAGACACGGUCCAAACUCCUACGGGAGGCAGCAGUGAGGAAUAUUGGUCAAUGGGCGAGAGCCUGAACCAGCCAAGUAGCGUGCAGGAUGACGGCCCUAUGGGUUGUAAACUGCUUUUGUAUGGGGAUAAAGUCAAUCACGUGUGAUUGUUUGCAGGUACCAUACGAAUAAGGACCGGCUAAUUCCGUGCCAGCAGCCGCGGUAAUACGGAAGGUCCGGGCGUUAUCCGGAUUUAUUGGGUUUAAAGGGAGCGUAGGCUGGAGAUUAAGUGUGUUGUGAAAUGUAGACGCUCAACGUCUGACUUGCAGCGCAUACUGGUUUCCUUGAGUACGCACAACGUUGGCGGAAUUCGUCGUGUAGCGGUGAAAUGCUUAGAUAUGACGAAGAACUCCGAUUGCGAAGGCAGCUGACGGGAGCGCAACUGACGCUGAAGCUCGAAGGUGCGGGUAUCGAACAGG